rnacentral:lncRNA from 1 species
CAGCUUCUUGGCCACAGUGGCAUCUUCUGUUUCAGGCUCUGUCCCGAGGUACACUGUUCCUACUCGGUGAUAGUAGGGUACCACUUUGAACUCUUCUUUUAGGCACACUGGGAUGCCAUCCAGGUAAGAUAGGGUACAUUUAUUCCUGUAACGAGCAGUGGAGGCCUCGGCCAUCAGCAUUAUUUGCUCCUGGUCCCAUUGCACUAUCGCUCUGAGUGGGGGCGUGGAUUUGUCGCAGUCCUCCAGCACGGCAAUGAUGUUCUUU